AGAUUGAAAGAUGAAGAAUUCUUUUUGUUGUUUUUGCAAUAUUUUAAGUGUAGCUCUUGUUCUUUAAUACGUGCAAUAUUUUAGGAGUGAUUUCUUAGUGAUUUUCUAAACUGCUCUUAGGAUUAAUACUACUGUCUUGUCACAGUACUAUACACAGUAAAUGAGGAUAAUUGCAUUAGUGAAACUGUUCAGUGUUUACAAUAUAUGGCUACAGUGAGUACUCUAUACCAAGGGUCUCAAACUCCAGUCCUCGAGAUCCGGUAAACUGCAGUUAUUGGAUGUGCCACAGGUAAAAAACACUGGAAUGAAAUGGCUUAAUUACCUUCUCCUUGUGUAGAUCAGUUCUCCUGAGCCUUAAUGACCUAAUUAUUCUAUUCAGGUGUGUUGCAGCAGAGGAACAGCUAAAGGUUGCAGGACACCUGCCCCUGAGGACUGGGGUUUGACACCCCUGCUCUAUACAUAGGCUGUUUUGCCUUAAUAUUAUUUUUUGGAGAAGCCCAAAUGUUAUAUUAACUGCAUUAUGAACAUACAUUUCUUUGCAGACUUGAAGAGCACGAAACUGUGAAGAUCACCCAUCAACGAUUUGAAAAAGCAGUAAAGCAACAACUACAGCCAGAUGCUUCAUGGAAGAUAUGCUGUGUGCGUGUUCUUGGAAAUGCAGGUGACAAACAUUUACUUGUAUGAAAAUUUUGAAAACGUGAGCUUUAGAUUUACAAAUGUGUUAAUCCUUUUUUUUAAAAAUUCUUUUCUAAAGACUGCUAUGGAGAAGCACGACGAAAGCUUGCAAGGGCAGAAGCAACAUCAGAUCUUCAAACAGAUAGUGAUAUCCCAGAAAAGCGACGUAGAAGAUCCUCCCACAAAUGGGGCACAUUUUCUUCAAGUGAAGACAGUGUGGACUCCUCAGAGAAUGAAGUUCCACCUUCUCCUCCCUUGGAACCUACCACAGUUGGAUCUGCCUCAAAAGUGUGUAGUCUCGGUGUGUCCAGAAAGAGAAGCCUCAGCACAACUCCAAAUCUGAGAAGUGCAACUGCAAGUCUUUCUAUGAGUCCUGGGACUUCUUUGAGCAGGAGCAGCUCCAGCUUGGGAGAGGCUAUGUUUACUAGGCUGGUUACACUUCUUGAGGAGGUUAGAGAAACACAAAAACUACACGGACAGUUGUUGAGUACCUUGCUGAGACAGAAAUCUGCUUCACCACCGGUUGAACCACCUGAAGGAGCUGUUUUUCCAAUGUGUACAAUCAAUGAUGUCCUGGGCAUGAAUGAGAAGCUGGGUGACUCAGACUUCAUGUCUGGAGUUGUUGCCAUGGUUGCAGAAAUUGGAGGAGCAUCCUUGGAUGACGCAAUACGACGGGCUAUGCGAUUCCUGAUGUCCCAUGAAUUAGCAGUCCAGUUCAACCUGUUUGGCCGACAUGGGAAACACCAGUUCCGGGACCUGCGUCUCUUUGAUGUUGUGUAUGGGGCACUUAAAAGAAAUGGUUCCAUCGUUGGACUCACACAUAAAGAUGUGGAAAAGGCACUCUGAGUGGUUCACUGGAGCCCGUGACAGAGGUGGGAAUAGGAGAAUUAGAGCAAGUAGGGAGGCUGCCAAUUCUCACUCUGGUGGGCAGGUCUUCCAAGAAGGACAGUUACAAUAAUAUGCAAGCUUUCAAGUGUAAGCAUGCAUGUAGGUUAUUCUAAAAGGUUUUGUGAAAGGUGUGUGUAUGUACCAGUAAACAAGUUUGUUGUUCAAAAAUGCCAUGUGAACAAUUUUGUAGAUUUUUAAUUUUUUUUUUGUUGUUGUUUAAGAGCGCCAUUUGUGCUUGUGGCACCGUUUGCUUUGUUAAUUAAGUUCUAAUAAUUGCUGAGGUAUAAAAUAACUUCUGAUUACAAAAUAAACAGCCUUGACCAAAGGAAAUUUCUUUUUUUCUCUUUAAACAAAUUUUGUGAUAAAGCGUUUUAGGACUUUGGUUUGUUUAAAACUGCAUAUCUAUGAAUGUUAUUCAUUUCAAGGUUAGGUGAGAACAACCCCAUUGUUCCUAUAAGGAUUAAGGCAUCUGGCUCCCACUGAAAACCCAGUCAGGGCCUGUAAACCAUUAUGGGCUAAAGCAUAUGGGCCCAUCAUGGAAAAUGUGGAACUACUAAUUUGUUACCCAUAUUCUAGCCCAGUUCAGACCCAAUUGGGGUCCAGGUAAAUAUUCCUGAAAGCACCCUAGUGGGCCACAGAUGGGCCUCGUGUAAGUUAACCAUCUGGGCCCCACUGAAAACCCAGUCAGAGCCCAUUAAAAUCUACCUGGGCAAACCCAUGUGGGGCCACCAUGGAAACCGUGGACAAACCCACUUGUUACCCAUAUUCUAGCCCAGUUCAGACCCAAUUGGGGCCCAGGUAAAUAUUCCUGAAAGCACCCUAGUGGGCCACAGAUGGGCCUCGUGUAAGUUAACCAUCUGGGCCCCACUGAAGACCCAGUCAGAGCCCUUUAAAAUCUACCUGGGCAAACCCACGAGGGGCCACCAUGGAACCCGUGGACAAACCCUUUUGGGACCCAUAUG